ACCAACAAGUCUAACAUGUGCGCGAGUCAAUGGGACUUCAAAACCCAGAGGCGGAAUGAAACGUGAAGGCCUGGCCUCGUGCCGUGCCGUGUUGCCAUCCCGGGCCGCCCAGGGGUCCGAUGAAGGGAGCAGCAACAACCCGCCCCACACGCUCACGUUGUGGGGGCGGUGCUAGAGCACACGGAUUGGCACCCGAAAGAUGGCGGACUAUGCCCGGGCAGGACGAGGCGAGAGGAUGCUCUGGCGGAGGUCCGAAGCGCUUCUUACGUGCAAAUCGAUCGUACGACCCAGGUACAGGGGCGAAAGACUAAUCGAACCAUCGAGUAGCUGGUUCCCUCCCAAGUUUCCCUCAGGAUAGCUGGCGCUUGUUGCCGAGACCAGUCACACCUGGUAAAGCGAAUGAUUAGAGGCAUUGGGGUCGAAACGACCACAACUUAUUCUCAAACUUUCAAUGGGUGUGUCGGAGGCCUUCCUGUCUCAGGCCUCCGGAAGCGAUGAGAGUGCCAGGUGGGCCACUUAUGGUAAGCAGAACUGGCGCUGUGGGAUGAACCAAACGUCGGGGUAAGGCGCCGGAUGCGGGACGCUCAUGAGAUCCCAUAAAGGGUGUUGGUUGCUUAAGACAGCAGUGCGGUGGCCAUCGAAGUCGGAACCCGCUAAGAAGUGUGUAACAACUCACGUGCCGAAGCAACUAGCCCCGAAAAUGAUGGCGCUCUAGCGUCGAGCCUAUCCCCGCCCGCUGCCGGCAGAUGCACGCAAACAAGGGGGUGCUCAGCUGCAGCGAGUAGGAGGGCCGCUGCGGUGAGCGUUGAAGGUGUCGGGCGUAAGCCCGUCUGAAGCCGCGGCUGGUGCAGAUCUUUGCGGAGUAGCAAAUACUCAAGUGAGAACCUUGAGCACUGAAGUGGAGAAGGGUUUCAUGUGAACAGCAAUUGAACAUGGGUCAGUGGGUUUUAAUGGAAAGGAGAAGUUUUUUCCGAAGCGUGAGCACUUUUUUUGCAGUGCAAAGAAGAGAGCCCGCAGUGACCGAAAGAGACUGGGUUAAGUUUGCAAGUUUCCUUGCAAAAUUCUUGAACAUAUAAUUUUUUCUCACCUUGUCAACUUCUUAGAAUCUAACAACUUCUUCAACAAUGCCCAGCACGGUUUUCGAAAAUCAUUUUCAUGUG
rnacentral:rRNA from 1 species